GGCUGGAUCACCUCCUUUCUAAGGAGCAUCCUUUCCGUGGAAACACGGAAAGAAAAGCUCGGUCAUACCCGACGCUCAUUCGAUCGUUCAUUCCGAUUCGGUUUUCAGGGAUCCGACCAAGACCCCUGAGGGCGGGAGCUCCGGCGAAAGCUGGCGCUCCCUUCGUUCCUUGAACGCGGAUUUCUCGAGUGACAGCCCGCCGAGGCUCGAAGUCUUCGGAGGGCCACUAGCUCAGGUGGUUAGAGCGCACCCCUGAUAAGGGUGAGGUCGGUAGUUCGAGUCUACCGUGGCCCACCGCGCUCCGACUGGAGUGUCCGGGGCUGUAGCUCAGCUGGGAGAGCACCGGCUUUGCAAGCCGGGGGUCACCGGUUCGAUCCCGGUCAGCUCCACCAGCCAAUCCGCGUUCCGUUCAUUGAAAACAGAAGAAGGAUAAGUUUUUUCCUCGUAGCUAGCGAGUAAUGAAGGCGAUCGUGUCGGGCGAGAUGCUCUUGCAUCGAACCCCGACCUCGACUCGUCGAUACGUGCCUUAGGGAUACGGUCAAGCUACGAAGGGCGCGUGGUGGAUGCCUAGGCGCUGAGAGGCGAUGAAGGACGUGGACAGCUGCGAUAAGCCUCGGGGAGCUGCUAACAAGUAUAGAUCCGAGGAUUUCCGAAUGGGGCAACCCAACGGGGACAACCCGUGACUGACGAGCUGAAUACAUAGGUUCGUCAGAGCCAACCCAGGGAACUGAAAUAUCUAAGUACCUGGUGGAAAAGACAUCAAGACAGAGAUUCUCCUAGUAGCGACGAGCGAAAGGGGAAGAGCCUAAACCGUGUCAGUGCAAGGCUGGAGCCGUUGCUGGCACGGGGUCGUGGGGCCAUUCGGUGAGUUCUCCAGAGCUCACAGGGAGUUACAAAGGCGUUUGCUAGACGAACGGUCUGGAAAGGCCGGUCAUAGAGGGUGACAACCCCGUAGUCGAAAGUGAACGCUCUCCCGUUUGGUACCCGAGUACCGCAGGGCACGUGCAACCCGGUGGGAAUCUGGGAGGACCAUCUUCCAAGGCUAAAUACUACUCAGCGACCGAUAGUGAACGAGUACCGUGAGGGAAAGGUGAAAAGAACCCCGGCAAGGGGAGUGAAAUAGUACCUGAAACCGCGCGUCUACAAGCAGUGGAAGCACUAUGCUCUUCGGAGCACGUGCGACCGCGUACCUUUUGCAUCAUGGGCCUGCGAGUUACGGUAUGUAGCGAGGUUAAGCCGCAAGGUGGAGCCGAAGGGAAACCAAGUCCAAAUAGGGCGAUCAGUUGCAUGCCGUAGACCCGAAACCUAGCGAUCUACUCUUGGGCAGGUUGAAGCGCGGGUAAUACCGCGUGGAGGACCGAACCCACUCAAGUUGAAAAUUGAGGGGAUGACCUGAGGGUGGGAGUGAAAGGCUAAUCAAGCUGGGAGAUAGCUGGUUCUCCGCGAAAUAUAUUGAGGUAUAGCCUCGGACGAAUUGCACCGGAGGUAGAGCACUGGAUGGGCUAGGGGUCCUACCAGAUUACCAAACCCAACCAAACUCCGAAUGCCGGUGACAAGUAUCCGGGAGUUAGGCUGCGGGAGAUAAGUUCCGUGGCCGAGAGGGAAAGAGCCCAGAUCGACAGCUAAGGUCCCAAAAUCCAGACUAAGUGUGGAAGGAUGUGGGAGCGCUCUGACAGCCAGGAGGUUGGCUUAGAAGCAGCCAUCCUUUAAAGAAAGCGUAAUAGCUCACUGGUCGAGCGAGCCUGCGCCGAAAAUAUAACGGGGCUAAAGUCUGGUACCGAAGCUUCGGGCUCUCGCAAGAGAGCGGUAGCGGAGCAUUCUCAGAUAGAUACUAGCCGUACCGUGAGGAGCGGUGUUGGAUCUGAGAAGAGCUUAUGCAGGCAUGAGUAGCGAUAAACAGGAUGAGAAAUCCUGUCGCCGUAAGCCCAAGGUUUCCUGGGGAAGGAUAAUCCUCCCAUGGGUUAGUCGGUCCCUAAGCCGAGGCCGAAAGGCGUAGGUGAUGGAAAGCAGGUUAAUAUUCCUGCACCACUAGGGAUGGCUUCGAACCGAGCGGGGACGGAGAAGGGUAGGCCGAGCCAGUCGUUUGGUCGUACUGGUUCAAGCGCGUAGGCGGAUUCCGUAGGACCCAAUAGGGACAAACGCGGAGUCAACGCCGAGACGUGAUGAGGUGAGACUUCGGUCUCGCAACUCGGUGAUCCCAAGCUCCCAAGAAAAGCCGCGCGGUGAGCCCCUCUAGUGACCGUACCGCAAACCGACUCAGGUGGGCGGGGUGAGUAUCCCAAGGCGCGUGAGAGAACACUGGCUAAGGAACUCGGCAAAAUGACACCGUAACUUCGGGAGAAGGUGUGCCCUCACGUAGGUGAAGAGCUUGCGCUCGGAGCCGAAGGGGGUUGCAGAGAAACGGCGGUUGCGACUGUUUACUAAAAACACAGGACUCUGCGAACUCGUAAGAGGACGUAUAGGGUCUGACGCCUGCCCGGUGCUGGAAGGUUAAGGGGAGGAGUUAGCCGUAAGGCGAAGCUUCGAACCGAAGCCCCAGUAAACGGCGGCCGUAACUAUAACGGUCCUAAGGUAGCGAAAUUCCUUGUCGGGUAAGUUCCGACCUGCACGAAUGGCGUAACGACAUCCGCACUGUCUCGGCCAGUGACUCAGCGAAAUUGUAAUGGGCGUGAAGAUACGCUCUACCCGCAGCAAGACGGAAAGACCCCGUGAACCUUUACUGCAACUUGGCAGUGAAGCUCGGGACAGUCUGCGUAGGAUAGGUGGGAGGCUUUGAAGCUGGGAUUCCGGUUUCAGCUGAGCCAACGUUGAAAUACCACCCUGACUGUUCUGGGCUUCUAACCCAGGCCCGUGAUCCGGGUCGGGAACACUGCCUGGUGGGCAGUUUGACUGGGGCGGUCGCCUCCUAAAGCGUAACGGAGGCGCA
rnacentral:misc_RNA from 1 species